UACGGAGGAUGCGAGCGUUAUCCGGAUUUAUUGGGUUUAAAGGGUGCGUAGGUGGUUAAUUAAGUCUGAUGUGAAAGCCCACGGCUUAACCGUGGAGGGUCAUUGGAAACUGGUUGACUUGAGUGCAGAAGAGGGAAGUGGAAUUCCAUGUGUAGCGGUGAAAUGCGUAGAUAUUAGGAGGAACACCAGUGGCGAAGGCGGCUUACUGGACUGUAACUGACGUUGAGGCUCGAAAGCGUGGGGAGCAAACAGG
rnacentral:rRNA from 1 species